AAUAUAGCUGCUGCAGGGGUAUAAGAUCUGGCCGACCAGUUUACAUCUACAUAUGAGACAUGCAGAGAAACAGUUGCAAAAUGUCUAUCUUCCCUCAACAAGUGAGAAGAGGAGCUCUAAGCAUUAAAGAGGGUCUGUAUUAUCACAGGAAGCAACCAUCAACAUUGUCCAGAGAUUUCGAUAAAAAGCCCAUGCUUCUGCACAAAGAUUGUCUCAUGAAUCAGAGGAUCAUGUCCUUUGCAUGUAUGAUAUGGUUCUUAGAACAGAGUUAUAUAGCUUCUCUCAAUUUUACCAAGUUCAUUGGCUCCUAUAAAAUGCUGAGUCUGCAAGAGACACUGCCAAGUUCCAGUUACUUUUAUAGUCUGAGAUGGGGGUUUCCACUGAGAGAGUAUACGAAGAUGAAAGAGGAAGAAUUGCUAUGGGAAGAGGUUUUAUUAAAAAUACAGCUGAAGGUUUUUUCAUCAUAUCUUUGAGUAAACAUUAGUGGGAUAGUGACAGAAGAUGUGUCACUGGAUUUAUUUACUGUAAGACAGUUCUGCCGAGUAAAGUACCAUAUG
rnacentral:lncRNA from 7 species